rnacentral:rRNA from 1 species
GUUGAAGGUGGCCUGUGAGGGUUGCUGGAGGUAUCAGAAGUGCGAAUGCUGACAUAAGUAACGAUAAAGCGGGUGAAAAGCCCGCUCGCCGGAAGACCAAGGGUUCCUGUCCAACGUUAAUCGGGGCAGGGUGAGUCGACCCCUAAGGCGAGGCCGAAAGGCGUAGUCGAUGGGAAACGGGUUAAUAUUCCCGUACUUGGUGUUACUGCGAAGGGGGGACGGAGAAGGCUAUGUUGGCCGGGCGACGGUUGUCCCGGUUUAAGCGUGUAGGUGUGUGUUCCAGGUAAAUCCGGUUCACUUUAACACUGAGGCGUGACGACGAGGCACUACGGUGCUGAAGCAACAAAUGCCCUGCUUCCAGGAAAAGCCUCUAAGCAUCAGGUAACAUCAAAUCGUACCCCAAACCGACACAGGUGGUCAGGUAGAGAAUACCAAGGCGCUUGAGAGAACUCGGGUGAAGGAACUAGGCAAAAUGGUGCCGUAACUUCGGGAGAAGGCACGCUGACACGUAGGUGAAGUGAUUUACUCAUGGAGCUGAAGUCAGUCGAAGAUACCAGCUGGCUGCAACUGUUUAUUAAAAACACAGCACUGUGCAAACACGAAAGUGGACGUAUACGGUGUGACGCCUGCCCGGUGCCGGAAGGUUAAUUGAUGGGGUCAGCGCAAGCGAAGCUCCUGAUCGAAGCCCCGGUAAACGGCGGCCGUAACUAUAACGGUCCUAAGGUAGCGAAAUUCCUUGUCGGGUAAGUUCCGACCUGCACGAAUGGCGUAAUGAUGGCCAGGCUGUCUCCACCCGAGACUCAGUGAAAUUGAACUCGCUGUGAAGAUGCAGUGUACCCGCGGCAAGACGGAAAGACCCCGUGAACCUUUACUAUAGCUUGACACUGAACAUUGAGCCUUGAUGUGUAGGAUAGGUGGGAGGCUUUGAAGCGUGGACGCCAGUCUGCGUGGAGCCGACCUUGAAAUACCACCCUUUAAUGUUUGAUGUUCUAACGUGGACCCGU